rnacentral:rRNA from 1 species
AUUGAACGCUGGCGGCAGGCCUAACACAUGCAAGUCGAGCGCUCUCUUCGGAGGGAGCGGCGGACGGGUUAGUAACGCGUGGGAAUGUACCCUUCUCUAAGGAAUAGCCAUUGGAAACGAUGAGUAAUACCUUAUACGCCCCCCGGGUCAAACUGGGGGGAAAGAUUUAUCGGAGAGGGAUCAGCCCGCGUAAGAUUAGAUAGUUGGUGGGGUAAUGGCCUACCAAGUCUACGAUCUUUAGCUGGUUUUAGAGGAUGAUCAGCAACACUGGGACUGAGACACGGCCCAGACCCCUACGGGAGGCAGCAGUGGGGAAUCUUGGACAAUGGGCGCAAGCCUGAUCCAGCCAUGCCGCGUGAGUGAUGAAGGCCUUAGGGUCGUAAAGCUCUUUCGCCAGAGAUGAUAAUGACAGUAUCUGGUAAAGAAGUCCCGGCUAACUCCGUG